CACCGGAACAGUAGAAUGUACGGAAUUGCUACAGUGAGAGUGUUACAGUGGUUCUACUAAAAUCAUCAACUAAAGUUAAAAAAUAUCUGGCACGAUAAUGAGAAACAAUAUGGUAAGGUCCCCAGAGAUCCACAUGCACCAAUUCAAACACAUCCUUAGUUGUAAUACGACUAGAAGGAAAAGGCAAUAUUUUUUGUUUAGAAAUGGGACAAAUUUCACAAGCUAAAAAAUUGUCAUUACAAUUGUCAAGGUUUACAAUUCUCAUAAUGGCAUUUUCUAGGUGCAUGUCCUAAUCAAGCAUGCCGCAGUGACAUAUCCACUGCUUUAUGUAGACUAGCUACACUUCAUGUGUCCUUGAGUGUCACACCUAAAGGUAAUGAAGAUAUACUACUGCAUCUAUGUCUUCGGUUAAAGGAUGUAGAGUCAAAUCUAUAGAGCCCUACUUGUACUUUUCCAAUAGCUAUAAAUUUCUCAGUCAAGAGGUCCUAUAGGAGAAAACGGGUGGAGAAGAAAGAAAAAUCAUAUGUGAGUCUUGAAAAAGUUUUAGAACUGAUAAAAGGUUGUAUUUAAAGUGAGGCACAUACAAAACAUUUGUUAAUUUGAGGUUAGGACUUAGUAUGACACUACCAGUAUAAGUUAUAGAACCAUUAGGAAGAUAUAUUGUAUUAGAAUGAUUUUUGGGUUAAUGGUUGACUAAAAGUUUAAAAUUAAAGCACAUUCAGGCAGUAGCUCUUGUGUCCAUAAUCCACGUUCCUAUUUCAUCACUAUGCAUGCUAGACAAACACAAAUAAGAAAAAUUACCUGCAAAAUUUGAGUAAUUGGCACUAUUUAGCUCAGAAGUACCUACAACUGCUAUGUUCUUCCCUUUUAUAUACCUCAGAAUUUCUUGUUGAAUCACAUUUAUCAAUAAGGCAUUCCAGUUAUAAGUUGCAUUUUCUGAGAGUGAUAGCAGAUCAUUAGCCAUCAUUUCAUUAUUGUGUGUCAUAGCAUAUGCCUAAGGUUUAGAUUUCUUAUGCUUUAACUCCUUAUACCAAUCAGGAUAGCCAUGGAGCUUAAAGUAACUUUCCCUCACAUAACUUAUUGUAUUGCAAUGAUUACAAUACCUAACCUCCUUUUUAACAAAAUUUUUCUUGCCUUCAUAAGGUUUUGCUCCACCCUUAUUGUUGUCAUUCGUCUUAAGAUUCUGUGUAUUAGCCAGCAUAGUAGAAGCUUCUGUUACAUUAGUCAAAGAAUGCACCUCUCAUUGCCUUUCAAUCGUAAGCACCAGGGAGUUUGCUUUGCUUACAACAGGUAAAGUUUCUAAUAUUAGAAUUUGAUUCCUCACCAUUAAAAAAUGCGUCAAUUUGUCAUUAUCAUCCAUGUUCAUCAUAGCCUUAGAAGCUCCACAUGUACACACAGGAAAUACCUUUAGGCAAGAACGUUCAUCCCAUAACUUCUUCAGUUUAGUAAAAUAAGCCAUUAAAGAUAUAUUUCCCUAAGAAAAUGAACUAAUUUCUCUCUUGAUCUGAUACAGUGAGGGGCCAUUACAUUCACCAAAAUGUUACUCAAACUCAAGCCAUAGAUUCCUAGCAGGAGCAACAUAAAGAAAGGCCUCAGCCAAUUCUUCUCACAUAGAGUUCAAAAUCCACGAGAUUACCAUACUAUCUACCUUUUGCCACUAUUCAUACUUAUCAAAAUUCACAUUAGGUGCAUGAAUCUUUCCAUUUAUAAAACCUAAUUUCUCUUUAGCACGAAAUGUAAUCACCAUUGAUCUAUUCCAAGAUAGGUAAUUUAGUCUAGUCAAAGGAGUACUUACGAGGAUCAUUCCAAGAUGAACCUGUAGAUGAUACAAAUAGCAUCCUCCAUGAAUAACUUGCCUUAACAUCUCCCGAGUUUCAAAAGAUUCCUCCAUUUUUUAUUUGCAACUUUGAUUCACAAGUUAAAUCUCAAAACUAUAAGAAUUAUGAUUCAAUCUAGCUUAGGAUUGAAUCAAUAAGUGAAAACUACUCAGAUCUGAGAGAUCGACUUGCUCUGAUACCAUGAAACUAAAAGUAAUUAAGAAAAGAAACUGAGUAAAU
rnacentral:misc_RNA from 1 species